GAUGAAGAACGCAGCAAAAUGCGAUAAGUAAUGUGAAUUGCAGAAUUCAGUGAAUCAUCGAAUCUUUGAACGCACAUUGCGCCCGCCAGUAUUCUGGCGGGCAUGCCUGUUCGAGCGUCAUUUCAACCCUCAAGCACAGCUUGGUGUUGGGACUCGCGUUAAUUCGCGUUCCCCAAAUUGAUUGGCGGUCACGUCGAGCUUCCAUAGCGUAGUAGUAAAACCCUCGUUACUGGUAAUCGUCGCGGCCACGCCGUUAAACCCCAACUUCUGAAUGUUGACCUCGGAUCAGGUAGGAAUACCCGCUGAACUUAAGCAUAUCAAUAAGCAGAGGA
rnacentral:misc_RNA from 1 species